UGUCUUCAGGGCGGGGUGUGAUUCCCCACUGGCGGUAAAGUCCGCGACCGGGUGCCUUUGGUAUCCGCUGACUCGGUGAAACUCCGGGACCAACAGUAUAGUCUGGAUGGAAGAAGAUG
rnacentral:ncRNA from 1 species